rnacentral:rRNA from 1 species
UACGUAGGUGGCAAGCGUUGUCCGGAAUUAUUGGGCGUAAAGCGCGCGCAGGCGGUCCUUUAAGUCUGAUGUGAAAGCCCACGGCUCAACCGUGGAGGGUCAUUGGAAACUGGGGGACUUGAGUACAGAAGAGGAAAGCGGAAUUCCACAUGUAGCGGUGAAAUGCGUAGAGAUAUGGAGGAACACCAGUGGCGAAGGCGGCUUUCUGGUCUGUAACUGACGCUGAGGCGCGAAAGCGUGGGGAGCAAACAGG